rnacentral:misc_RNA from 1 species
GGAAGUAAAAGUCGUAACAGGGUCUCCGUUGGUGAACCAGCGGAGGGAUCAUUACCGAGUUUACAACUCCCAAACCCCUGUGAACAUACCAUUUGUUGCCUCGGCGGUGCCUGCUUCGGCAGCCCGCCAGAGGACCCAAACCCUUGAUUUUAUACAGUAUCUUCUGAGUAAAUGAUUAAAUAAAUCAAAACUUUCAACAACGGAUCUCUUGGUUCUG